AACGAACGCUGGCGGCAUGCCUAACACAUGCAAGUCGAACGAGACCUUCGGGUCUAGUGGCGCACGGGUGCGUAACGCGUGGGAACCUGCCCUUAGGUUCGGAAUAACUCCCCGAAAGGGGUGCUAAUACCGGAUAAUGUCUUCGGACCAAAGAUUUAUCGCCUUUGGAUGGGCCCGCGUUGGAUCAGCUAGUUGGUAGGGUAAAAGCCUACCAAGGCGACGAUCCAUAGCUGGUCUGAGAGGAUGAUCAGCCACACUGGGACUGAGACACGGCCCAGACUCCUACGGGAGGCAGCAGUGGGGAAUAUUGGACAAUGGGCGAAAGCCUGAUCCAGCAAUGCCGCGUGAGUGAUGAAGGCCUUAGGGUUGUAGAGCUCUUUUACCCGGGAUGAUAAUGACAGUACCGGGAGAAUAAGCUCCGGCUAACUCCGUG
rnacentral:rRNA from 1 species